CCCGUUUACUUUGUGAAUAUCGCAAUAGGCACUCUCAUCUCUAACCCAAGUAUUAGGAGAUUUGUAUCUUCCUCUACUUGGGGAGGGUUUUCCUACAGCGUUAGUAGCAGGAUUAACUCCGAACCGUUUUUGAUCUUUUGGUUCGAACUUUUUCGUUGGAUUUCCAAUGACCAAUUUGGCUGGCCGAUGCUUUUUAGCGAGGCUGAGCUUUUCUUCUUCUGCCUCCAUCCAACUAUUAGCUCGGAACAAAGCAUCCUGGAUGGUACUCGGACGAUUGACGAUGAUUUCUUCCCGAAAUCAAGAUUCAUGCCAGAGUCCAUUCCUUAAAGAAGACAGGGCAACAGUGUGCGAUACCCCAUGAAUUUUGGCUAUUACUUCUUUGAAUUUAGCAAUAUAUUUGCGAAGUGGUUUAUUUUGAUCGUGGGUUAGAUUCUAAAGAUCUGCAUCGGAAGUUGCCUUUUCCAUGAACAUGGAAUAUUGUUUUAGGAAUGCAGAGGACAAUUCCUUAAAACUAUCAAUAGUUCUAGGCUCCAACUGAGUAAACCAUAGCAGGGCCGAUCCG
rnacentral:lncRNA from 1 species